GCCGGCGACCGGCGCGACGGGUGAGUAACACGUAUAGUAACCUGCCCUAUGCAGGGGGAUAACCCGGAGAAAUCCGGCCUAAUACCGCGUAACACCUUUUGGGAGCAUUCCCGGGAGGUUAAAGGAGAGAUCCGGCAUAGGAUGGACAUGCGUCGCAUUAGGUAGACGGCGGGGUAACGGCCCACCGUGCCGACGAUGCGUAGGGGUUCUGAGAGGAAGGCCCCCCACACUGGUACUGAGACACGGACCAGACUCCUACGGGAGGCAGCAG
rnacentral:rRNA from 1 species